UACGUAGGGUGCGAGCGUUGUCCGGAAUUACUGGGCGUAAAGAGCUCGUAGGUGGUUUGUCGCGUUGUCCGUGAAAACUCACAACUCAAUUGUGGGCGUGCGGGCGAUACGGGCAGGCUAGAGUUCGGUAGGGGAGACUGGAAUUCCUGGUGUAGCGGUGAAAUGCGCAGAUAUCAGGAGGAACACCGGUGGCGAAGGCGGGUCCUGCCUGGGCCGAUGACUGACGGCUGAGGAAGCGAA
rnacentral:rRNA from 1 species